UACAGGGGGUGCAAACGUUGCUCGGAAUCAUUGGGCGUAAAGCGCACGUAGGCGGUCUGUUAUGUCGGAUGUGAAAGCCCUUGGCUCAACUGAGGAAGUGCAUCCGAAACUGGCAGGCUAGAGUACUAAAGAGGAUCGCGGAAUUCCCGGUGUAGAGGUGAAAUUCGUAGAUAUCGGGAGGAACACCGGUGGCGAAGGCAGCGAUCUGGGUAGAUACUGACGCUGAGGUGCGAAAGCGUGGGGAGCAAACAGG
rnacentral:rRNA from 1 species